AGAACGAACGCUGGCGGCAUGCCUAACACAUGCAAGUCGAACGUGAUCCAGGCUUCGGCCUGGUGAAAGUGGCAGACGGGUGAGUAACGCGUGGGAACCUGCCCUGUGGUAGGGAAUAACCGUGGGAAACUGCGGCUAAUACCCUAUGAGUCCUUCGGGAGAAAGAUUUAUCGCCAUAGGAGGGGCCCGCGUCGGAUUAGGUAGUUGGUGGGGUAACGGCCUACCAAGCCUUCGAUCCGUAGCUGGUCUGAGAGGAUGAUCAGCCACACUGGGACUGAGAUACGGCCCAGACUCCUACGGGAGGCAGCAGUGGGGAAUAUUGGACAAUGGGGGGCAACCCUGAUCCAGCAAUGCCGCGUGGAUGAUGAAGGCCUUCGGGUUGUAAAGUCCUUUCGGCGGGGAAGAUGAUGACGGUACCGCAGAAGAGCCCCGGCUAACUUCGUGCCAGCAGCCGC
rnacentral:rRNA from 1 species